rnacentral:rRNA from 1 species
CAAUAGCGUAUAUUAAAGUUGUUGCGGUUAAAAAGCUCGUAGUUGGAUUUCUGCCGAGGACGACCGGUCCGCCCUCUGGGUGAGUAUCUGGCUCGGCCUGGGCAUCUUCUUGGAGAACGUAGCUGCACUUGGCUGUGUGGUGCGGUAUUCAGGACUUUUACUUUGAGGAAAUUAGAGUGUUUCAAGCAGGCACACGCCUUGAAUACAUUAGCAUGGAAUAAUAAGAUAGGACCUCGGUUCUAUUUUGUUGGUUUCUAGAUCUGAGGUAAUGAUUAAUAGGGAUAGUUGGGGGCAUUCGUAUUUAACUGUCAGAGGUGAAAUUCUUGGAUUUGUUAAAGACGGACUACUGCGAANGNAUUUGCNAAGGAUGUUUNCAUUG